CAGUAGCCACGGUAAUACAGAGGGUGCAAGCGUUAAUCGGAAUUACUGGGCGUAAAGCGUGCGUAGACGGUUACAUAAGUCGGGUGUGAAGGCCCCGGGCUCAACCUGGGAAUGGCAAUGGAUACUGGCGAGCUAGAGUGUGUCAGAGGAUGGUGGAAUUCCCGGUGUAGCGGUGAAAUGCGUAGAGAUCGGGAGGAACACCGAUGGCGAAGGCAGCCCCCUGGGCCAAUACUGACGCUCAUGCACGAAAGCGUGGGGAGCAAACAGGAUUAGAUACCCCAGUAGUCCCUGUCUUUUAUAC
rnacentral:rRNA from 1 species